rnacentral:rRNA from 1 species
CGUGUAGGCGGUCAGGUAAGUGGAAUGUGAAAUGCCCCGGCUCACCCGGGGACCGCAUCCCAAACUGCCUGGCUUGAGUAUGGGAGAGGAUGGAGGAAUUCCUGGUGUAGCGGUGAAAUGCGUAGAUAUCAGGAGGAACACCGGUGGCGAAGGCGUCCAUCUGGCCCAAUACUGACGCUGAGGCGCGAAAGCUAGGGGAGCAAACG